rnacentral:tRNA from 1 species
CAAGUUAAAUUCUAGGAGUGGUAUUAUUUACAAUAAUAUAUUGGUUCGUGCAAUUCGGCCUAACUUGA